rnacentral:rRNA from 1 species
AUAAGCGCUGGANACGGCGUCUAAUACCGGAUAUGAGCUACGGCCGCAUGGUCGGUAGUUGGAAAGAAUUUCGGUCAGGGAUGAGCUCGCGGCCUAUCAGCUUGUUGGUGAGGUAAUGGCUCACCAAGGCGUCGACGGGUAGCCGGCCUGAGAGGGUGACCGGCCACACUGGGACUGAGACACGGCCCAGACUCCUACGGGAGGCAGCAGUGGGGAAUAUUGCACAAUGGGCGCAAGCCUGAUGCAGCAACGCCGCGUGAGGGAUGACGGCCUUCGGGUUGUAAACCUCUUUUAGCGAGGAAGAAGCGAAAGUGACGGUACUCGCAGAAAAAGCGCCGGCUAACUACGUGCCAGCAGCCGCGGUAAUACGUAGGGCGCAAGCGUUAUCCGGAAUUAUUGGGCGUAAAGAGCUCGUAGGCGGUUUGUCGCGUCUGCUGUGAAAACUGGAGGCUCAACCUCCAGCCUGCAGUGGGUACGGGCAGACUAGAGUGCGGUAGGGGAGAUUGGAAUUCCUGGUGUAGCGGUGGAAUGCGCAGAUAUCAGGAGGAACACCG